rnacentral:sRNA from 1 species
GCCAGGUGUGGUGGUGCAUGCCUGUAAUCCCAGUGGCUCGGGAGGCUGAGGCAGGAGGAUCGUGAAUUCAAAGCCAGCCUCAG